GGGCGGGCGGGGUCGGCGGGGCGCUGAAAGGCUGAGGCCAGGAGGGAGGGCGGGCCUGGCGUGGCGCACCCGGCGGUGCUGGCACUCGUCUCUCGGUGACCAGAGAGCAGUGUGAGGAUUUGGCAGCGACGUGUUGACGCUGCGCUUGCGUACCAUACGUAGGGCAAGACUGGAAGGCCGCUGGGAAAAUACCAGCAUCCCGAACGCAAAAAACGGACAGCGGGUCCACGUGCUAGGGAUUCGACCGCAUCCAAUGCAGGUGGGAAGAUCCCGCUAGACUAAAAUAGCUUAUCCUUAUCAAAACCCGGAAAUGCCAAAUGGACACGUGGGAUGAGGGUUCGGUUAAAUAACGCAGGAUGGUGGCCUACAAGGUUUCAGUGUGUUUCUGGAAAAGGAAAUAAUAUUCAGGAUGCCUAACACCGAUGAGUGAAGCCUCAAGUUAAUGAGCCCUGGGCUGGAGGCUUCCUAAAACACUAUGCAAAUGUGUAUUAAACAAGGCGUAGAGGAAACACUGACCAUUUUAAGAUGGUUGAUGCAACUUCUGAAAAUCUGAAGAACUUUGUUUCAAGCUGGUAUUAGCAUUUCACGAAAAGGAUCGGGGAGUUCUGCAUUAGGGUGAAGUAGAUUUCUCAUUAACAUGGAUGAAAAAUACCUAUUGAUAGUAUAAUUCGUUGAGCAGAGGGCAGAAGAGGGCGCCGCAACUCUGAGCAGGGUUGAGAAGCCUGUUUGGAUCCAGCUCUGCCAUUCUGGGCCGUGAGGUUACCAAUGUAGCAGUGAAGAAAGCCGGGGAUCACAGGCUCUCCUCCUUGUUAUAACAUUAGUAACAACACAAGAGGAGAGGAAACCAAGAGAGAAGACAGAAAGCCCGGAACUGGCAACCAGGACCAGAGACUUGGAGGCUGGAAGUCAAUAACCAAAGUGCCAGCACAGACCAAGCUGGGAGGACUCCAUUCUGGAUUGCGGAUGGCCACCUUCUUGCCAGGAGUCAAAAGUGAGCAGCAGUGCCCACCUCUUGGUCAUGCAGGGUGAAGGACUGAACCAGGGCUUGUGUUUGCCAGCAGCUUGCGGCACCGGGAAUGAUGGACAGCCACGUGGUCUCUGGCUGGCAGCGUGGAUGAGACACCGAUGUGGAUUCAGAGGCACCAAGGACUACGAACAUCAACAUGGCCUCCACAGCAGCACUGAUCAUGGAAGUCUUUCAAGGGGACAACUCAGAAAAUGAAUCGUUCUUCAUCUCGGAUAUCUUGUUGCUCAGAGUCAGGGUGAUCGUGGGAUCGGGCAGCGUGUGUGUGGAACAGAAGUGGGCGUGGGGGGGGCACCUAGAAGAGCUGCGGCUCCAUUCUGCGGGCUGAGCGGCAGCAGUACUUGUCCUAGCAGGCGGGAACCGGGUGAGGUGGAUCCUAUAGUUGCUUGAGCCUCCAGGGUCCGAGGAGAACCUUCUCUACUGGGCAAUGACAUGCUCCUUUGUGCCCUCCCCCUGCCGCAGCCCUGCUCCAUACCCAUCGCUGCCCAGUCUCGCUUCCCUCUGUUGCGCUGCUCUGUUCUGCAGUAUGGAAAAAAAAUAUACUUUAGGGGUGGGGCACGCCAUUGAACUUUUCAUAAUUUCCAUCUCUUUGCUGAAAUUCCCUCUGACUACACCCAUUGUCAGCUUUCCCCACCAGAUCCUUUAAUGUAUUGUUACACUUUUUAAAAUUCUUCUCUGCUAAUUUGAAUACUCAGAUCAUAUGCAAAUCCGC
rnacentral:lncRNA from 1 species